rnacentral:rRNA from 1 species
UACGUAGGGUGCAAGCGUUGUCCGGAAUUAUUGGGCGUAAAGAGCUCGUAGGCGGUCUGUCGCGUCGGCUGUGAAAACCCGCGGCUUAACUGCGGGCUUGCAGUUGAUACGGGCAGGCUAGAGUUCGGUAGGGGAGACUGGAAUUCCUGGUGUAGCGGUGAAAUGCGCAGAUAUCAGGAGGAACACCGGUGGCGAAGGCGGGUCUCUGGGCCGAUACUGACAGCUGAGGAGCGAAAGCGUGGGGAGCGAACAGG